UACAGAGGUCUCAAGCGUUGUUCGGAUUCAUUGGGCGUAAAGGGUGCGUAGGUGGCGCGCUAAGUCGGGUGUGAAAUUUCGGAGCUUAACUCCGAAACUGCAUUCGAUACUGGCGUGCUUGAGGACUGGAGAGGAGACUGGAAUUUACGGUGUAGCAGUGAAAUGCGUAGAUAUCGUAAGGAAGACCAGUGGCGAAGGCGGGUCUCUGGACAGUUCCUGACACUGAGACACGAAGGCCAGGGGAGCAAACGGG
rnacentral:rRNA from 1 species